AGCUGCUCAUGUCUCCACUGGUGUUGAAUGUGUGUCUGUUAAUCAUGAGAAUCCAAAUUUGUAUGUUCCUCUUGGGUGAUCCUUCUGCCAGUCACAUAGAUGGUCACAGUUCUGUGAUAUCAGGGUUGAGCAGACACCACUAUGAUCAAUUGAUGAGCCUGUUGCAACAGACCAAGUUAGGGGAUUCUAGUGAUCAAACUCCUCCUUCCAUGUGUGCUGCUAAUUUUGCUGGUACAAUAUUGACUGAGAGUCUUGUUUCUGAUUCCAAAUUAUGCAUGCUUACACAUAUUAAUUCUGUC
rnacentral:lncRNA from 1 species